GGCUCGGUAGCUUAGUUAUAGUUGGUAAAGCACUUGUCUAGCGAAUAAGGGUCGUGAGUUCAAAUCUCACCUGAGCUG
rfam:Aedes albopictus isolate Foshan contig68433, whole genome shotgun sequence.